GUCUAUGGCUGUACCACCCUGAAUACACCCGAUCUCAUCUGAUCUCAAAAGAUAAGUAGGGUCGGGCCUGGUUAGUAGUUGGAUGGGAGAUCUUAGGAAAGUUAUGAGACCUAGUAA
rnacentral:rRNA from 1 species